GAUGAACGCUGGCGGCGUGCCUAAUACAUGCAAGUCGAGCGAACGGACGAGAAGCUUGCUUCUCUGAUGUUAGCGGCGGACGGGUGAGUAACACGUGGAUAACCUACCUAUAAGACUGGGAUAACUUCGGGAAACCGGAGCUAAUACCGGAUAAUAUUUUGAACCGCAUGGUUCAAAAGUGAAAGACGGUCUUGCUGUCACUUAUAGAUGGAUCCGCGCUGCAUUAGCUAGUUGGUAAGGUAACGGCUUACCAAGGCAACGAUGCAUAGCCGACCUGAGAGGGUGAUCGGCCACACUGGAACUGAGACACGGUCCAGACUCCUACGGGAGGCAGCAGUAGGGAAUCUUCCGCAAUGGGCGAAAGCCUGACGGAGCAACGCCGCGUGAGUGAUGAAGGUCUUCGGAUCGUAAAACUCUGUUAUUAGGGAAGAACAUAUGUGUAAGUAACUGUGCACAUCUUGACGGUACCUAAUCAGAAAGCCACGGCUAACUACGUGCCAGCAGCCGCGGUAAUACGUAGGUGGCAAGCGUUAUCCGGAAUUAUUGGGCGUAAAGCGCGCGUAGGCGGUUUUUUAAGUCUGAUGUGAAAGCCCACGGCUCAACCGUGGAGGGUCAUUGGAAACUGGAAAACUUGAGUGCAGAAGAGGAAAGUGGAAUUCCAUGUGUAGCGGUGAAAUGCGCAGAGAUAUGGAGGAACACCAGUGGCGAGGGCGACUUUCUGGUCUGUAACUGACGCUGAUGUGCGAAAGCGUGGGGAUCAAACAGGAUUAGAUACCCUGGUAGUCCACGCCGUAAACGAUGAGUGCUAAGUGUUAGGGGGUUUCCGCCCCUUAGUGCUGCAGCUAACGCAUUAAGCACUCCGCCUGGGGAGUACGACCGCAAGGUUGAAACUCAAAGGAAUUGACGGGGACCCGCACAAGCGGUGGAGCAUGUGGUUUAAUUCGAAGCAACGCGAAGAACCUUACCAAAUCUUGACAUCCUUUGACAACUCUAGAGAUAGAGCUUUCCCCUUCGGGGGACAAAGUGACAGGUGGUGCAUGGUUGUCGUCAGCUCGUGUCGUGAGAUGUUGGGUUAAGUCCCGCAACGAGCGCAACCCUUAAGCUUAGUUGCCAUCAUUAAGUUGGGCACUCUAAGUUGACUGCCGGUGACAAACCGGAGGAAGGUGGGGAUGACGUCAAAUCAUCAUGCCCCUUAUGAUUUGGGCUACACACGUGCUACAAUGGACAAUACAAAGGGCAGCGAAACCGCGAGGUCAAGCAAAUCCCAUAAAGUUGUUCUCAGUUCGGAUUGUAGUCUGCAACUCGACUACAUGAAGCUGGAAUCGCUAGUAAUCGUAGAUCAGCAUGCUACGGUGAAUACGUUCCCGGGUCU
rnacentral:rRNA from 1 species